CGAGAGAAGACCGGGAGCGGAGUGGCAGGACCUCGGGGUUUGGUCCCGGGUUCCCAAGCGAGAGAAAGUUCACAGUCCUUCGCUUUUACUGAGCUGCGUGUGCGCGUGGUGCGCAGAGCGCGUGACACCGCGGCGAGGGACUGCGGCACGAGACGGGCGACGGGCUGAAACCCGGGGAGCAGGAGAAGCCGGCGUGGAAAUGUCGGAGCGCACGGAGCCGUCAAACGCGGCGGAGAAGCUUACCACCAUGAUGGAGGAGGUAAAGACCACGGAGAUACCAAACCCAGUGGAGAUACCAAACCACACUGAGAAGGUGAACAACGCAGAGGAGAUGAGCACUCCCGAGAUGCCAAACCCAGUGGAGAUGCCAGACCCAGUGGAGACACCAAACCACACGGACAGGGUGAAGAACAUGGAGGAGACAAGCACUCCUGAGAUACGAAACCCUGUGGAGAUACCAAACUCAAUGGCGAUAAACACCCUUGAGAUACCAAACACCAAACGGGAACUAAAGCCCAUGAAGAUGCCGAAACACACUGACAUAGAGUCAGAGGAAAGUGUAAACCCAGUAGAGACAUCAAACCCCAUGGAGAUACCAAACCACACCGACAGGGUAAACCCCACAGAGGAGGCAAACAACCCUGAGAUACCAGACUCCAUGGAGAAGGUAAAGCCCAUGGAGAUUCCCACCCACUUGGAUCAAGACCCACACCACGUGACCAGUGGUCUGAAUUCUCAGAAUGACAUGCAUAUAAAGAGGAGAGAAACAGGCGCACGCCUUUCCCUCACAGAGUGCAACUCGCCGAAAGAAGGAGUCGCCCCCAGAGGACCUGCAAAGGACCCCCCAGCUCCCCUGGAGGAGGGGUAUCCCACAGGUACCAGGUGGAAUAGGUUUCACUCGCCGCAUCCAUCUCCAGCCCCCAUGAAGACAGGAGUGCUGUCCGUUGUCCACCAAUCACUCUCCUAACCAUGUUCCAAUUUUAUAUAUUGUUGCAUCAUAAAUCUUGUGGAGCAGUUUUACACAAGGUGUCUGCCACUUGUUUACUUUCACCUUGCUCACUGUUUUACUGUAGUCUGUCAUGCCAUUUACUGCUCUUGCUGAACUGUUGGAUUUACACUGUUAACGUGC
rnacentral:lncRNA from 1 species